AAAACAUCGCCUCCUGAUUAACUAUAAGAGGUCAAGCCUGCCCAGUGACAUUGUUCAACGGCCGCGGUAUCCUAACCGUGCGAAGGUAGCGUAAUCACUUGUUCUUUAAAUGAGGACUAGUAUGAACGGCUUCACGAAGGCUAUACUGUCUCCUUUAUCCAAUCAGUUAAACUAAUCUCCCCAUGAAGAAGCGGGGAUUCACCUAUAAGACGAGAAGACCCUAUGGAGCUUUAAACAAUUUAAAACAUUUGAACUUUACACUCCCACUUCCAGAAAUCUUCACUAAGCCCAUCAUUUUGUUUUAAGUUUUAGGUUGGGGUGACCACGGAGAAUAAUUUAUCCUCCACGUAGAAAGAACUUCUUUUCUAAGCAAAAAGCCACAUCUUUAUGCAUCAAAAUAUUGACUUAAAUUGACCCAAUUAAUUGAUCAACGAACCAAGUUACCCUAGGGAUAACAGCGCAAUCCGCUUUAAGAGCUCCUAUCGACAAGCGGGCUUACGACCUCGAUGUUGGAUCAGGACAUCCCA
rnacentral:rRNA from 1 species